rnacentral:rRNA from 1 species
UGGCCAGACUCCUACGGGAGGCAGCAGUGGGGGAUAUUGCACAAUGGGGGAAACCCUGAUGCAGCGACGCCGCGUGGGCGAAGAAGUAUUUCGGUAUGUAAAGCCCUAUCAGCAGGGAAGAAGAAAUGACGGUACCUGAGUAAGAAGCACCGGCUAAAUACGUGCCAGCAGCCGCGGUAAUACGUAUGGUGCAAGCGUUAUCCGGAUUUACUGGGUGUAAAGGGAGCGCAGGCGGCACGGCAAGCCUGAUGUGAAAGCCCGCGGCCCAACUGCGGGACUGCUUUGGAAACUGCCCGGCUAGAGUGCUGGAGAGGUAAGCGGAAUUCCUAGUGUAGCGGUGAAAUGCGUAGAUAUUAGGAGGAACACCAGUGGCGAAGGCGGCUUACUGGACAGUAACUGACGUUGAGGCUCGAAAGCGUGGGGAGCAAACAGGAUUAGAUACCCCUGUAAA